AUACCUUUCUCGGCCUUUUGGCUAAGAUCAAGUGUAGUAUCUGUUCUUAUCAGUUUAAUAUCUGAUACGUGGGCCAUCGGCCCAUCAUGAUGUUAAAUUAAUUUUUGUUGGAGAAGGCCCACCACAGUGGCUUGCUGCUGGGGCUUUCGCGCGUCGCCCUUGCGUUGCACUACCGUACGGGCUGGGCGCACCCCUA